AUGGUACAUGUCGAUGAUGUGGCACGGACACACAUAUUCUUACUUGAACAUUCUAAUCCAAAAGGAAGAUAUAAUUGUUUAGCAUUCACUACAACUGUUGGUGAAAUAAUUGACAUGAUUUCUUCAAAGUAUCCUGAAAUUCAAAUUCCAAAAUCCAAAUUACUUAAGGGAGCUAAAAGUCGUAAUUCUCCACAAUUAACAUCAAAGAAACUCUGGGAUACUGGAUUCAAAUACAAGUAUAAUAUUGAGGAAACAAUUGAGGAUACAAUUAAAUGUUGCAAGGAAAAGGGUUAUCUUUGA